GAGUUUGAUCAUGGCUCAGAUUGAACGCUGGCGGCAGGCUUAACACAUGCAAGUCGAGCGGAAACGAUGGGAGCUUGCUCCCAGGCGUCGAGCGGCGGACGGGUGAGUAACGCGUAGGAAUCUACCCAGUAGUGGGGGAUAGCCCGGGGAAACUCGGAUUAAUACCGCAUACGCCCUACGGGGGAAAGGCCGGGAUCUUCGGACCGGUCGCUAUUGGAUGAGCCUGCGUUGGAUUAGCUAGUUGGUAGGGUAAAGGCCUACCAAGGCGACGAUCCAUAGCUGGUCUGAGAGGAUGAUCAGCCACACUGGAACUGAGACACGGUCCAGACUCCUACGGGAGGCAGCAGUGGGGAAUAUUGGACAAUGGGCGCAAGCCUGAUCCAGCCAUGCCGCGUGUGUGAAGAAGGCUCUAGGGUUGUAAAGCACUUUCAGUAGGGAGGAAGGCCGGAGUGUUAAUAGCGCUUUGGAUUGACGUUACCUACAGAAGCAGCACCGGCUAACUCCGUGCCAGCAGCCGCGGUAAUACGGAGGGACCUAGCGUAGUUCGGAAUUACUGGGCUUAAAGAGUUCGUAGGUGGUUGAAAAAGUUGGUGGUGAAAUCCCAGAGCUUAACUCUGGAACUGCCAUCAAAACUUUUCAGCUAGAGUAUGAUAGAGGUAAGUGGAAUUUCUAGUGUAGAGGUGAAAUUCGUAGAUAUUAGAAAGAAUACCAAUUGCGAAGGCAGCUUUCUGGAUCAUUACUGACACUGAGGAACGAAAGCAUGGGUAGCGAAGAGGAUUAGAUACCCUCGUAGUCCAUGCCGUAAACGAUGUGUGUUAGACGUUGGAAAUUUAUUUUCAGUGUCGCAGGGAAACCGAUAAACACACCGCCUGGGGAGUACGACCGCAAGGUUAAAACUCAAAUGAAUUGACGGGGACCCGCACAAGUAGUGGAGCAUGUGGUUUAAUUCGAAGAUACGCGCAGAACCUUACCAACACUUGACAUGUUCGUCGCGACUCUAAGAGAUUAGAGUUUUCGGUUCGGCCGGACGAAACACAGGUGCUGCAUGGCUGUCGUCAGCUCGUGUCGUGAGAUGUUGGGUUAAGUCCCGCAACGAGCGCAACCCUCACUUUUAGUUGCCAUCAUUAAGUUGGGCACUCUGAAAGAACUGCCAGUGAUAAGCUGGAGGAAGGUGGGGAUGACGUCAAGUCCUCAUGGCCCUUAUGUGUUGGGCUACACACGUGCUACAAUGGUACUUACAAUGGGAAGCAAAGAUGCAAGUCCUAGCCAAUCCCUAAAAUGUACCUCAGUUCGGAUUGUACUCUGUAACUCGAGUGCAUGAAGCUGGAAUUGCUAGUAAUCGCGGAUCAGCGCGCCGCGGUGAAUACGUUCCCGGGUCUUGUACACACCGCCCGUCACACCAUGGAAGUUGGUUACACCUUAAGGCAAAGCUUAUACCUUUGACUACGGUACGAUCAGCAACUGGGGUGAAGUCGUAACAAGGUAACC
rnacentral:rRNA from 1 species